GACGAACGCUGGCGGCGUGCUUAACACAUGCAAGUCGAACGAAAAGGCCCUGCGUUUGUGGGGUGCUCGAUUGGCGAACGGGUGAGUAACACGUGUGUAACCUCCCCUUGACUUUGGGAUAACUUCUGGAAACACGGGCGCAUACCCGAUAUGAUCUCCUGCUCCAUGGGGGGGGUUGGUAAGUUUCGGCGGUUGGGGAUGUACUCGCUGCUUAUCCGCUUGUUGGUCGGGUAGUGGCUUACCAAGGCUUUGACGGGUAGGCUGCCUGAGAGGGUGACCGGCGACAUUGGGACUGAGGUAGGGCCCAGAAUCCUACGGGAGGCAGCAGUGGGGAGUCUUGCACAAUGGGCGGAAGCCUGAUGCAGCAACGUCGCGUGCGGGAUGACGGCUUUCGGGUUGUAAACAGAUUUCGAAUGUGACGAAGAGUGAGUGACGGUAAUGGGUAAAGAAGCACCGGCUAACUACGUG
rnacentral:rRNA from 1 species